GUCGGGGAUGUCAGUGCAUCUGUUCCGCACUCACACGUGUGCCUGGGCGAGCACCAUGCGUUGGACGACGCUCUCUGCCGUGUGGGACCCCCUGCUAGCUUUCCCUUUCCCCGAUCGAGAGCAUGAACAGAACCAUCACCAAAGAUUCUGGCACUGGAUCGUAACAGAAAUCAACAAAUUCGUCGGCUUUAUCAUUCUAGGUGCUCCUCGAGGCUAUAUAUGUCGAGCCUCCCCAUUCAUCUCAUACCAUCAUCGGGAGAAAUCGUACACCAGGCCAGAACCAGUAGUGAGAGGAACGGAGAGAGGGGGAUCGGAAGCCGCCCGCGUCUUGCGCUUGAUUCACCGGAGCCUCAGCCACAAGGAUCGGACGGUGGGCAUCGUCUUGGUUCACAGGAUGCAUGUGCGUCAAUUGCAUGCACCGUGGAUGGCUGGAGACUACACAAUUGCUCGUCGAACUUCGAGCGCUGCCACGGUUCCAUGCCGAGCAGCGGCCAGACUUUGCAGACAGCCUAAAGCACCGGGUUGAUGCUCAAGCUGUGUUCGAUGAUGUUGUGACUGGCUCCUACUAGAUUGAAGGAUGACCAGGCGAAGCCAUCCUUGUUGUUGCGAAGGCAGGUUAUCAAUUUUUCCUCGUCUUCGCUGUUGAGGUGUUCGAUGACGAGUAUUGUAUGGUUGAGUACUGCUAGGCCUAGGUGGACUUGUUUGGCCCAUUUUGUGCUUUGGAUUGGGUGCUUUUCCUUUUUUCCAUUUUCUCCAUGCGAGGGCUUGAGUGGUGUUUGGUUUCUUUGUCAAGGUAAUGUACAUUUCUCUAGAUGGGAAUGAAGUCCCUUUCGAUGUUGUGAGCAGUCUACUAAUUUCCAUAGACUAUGAUUACACCCAAGGGCAUGAAAGUUUAAUGCAAAGGUAUAGGUCGUGAAUGGCAGCUUCAAGUUUGUUAAUGGAGCACCUGUCAAGGAUGGCGUUAUAGGGGUACACCAUGUCCACUAUGUCAUAUGUGACUUGCUCUGUUCUAGCGUUUGGGGUGGUUCCCAAGGACAUUGGUAAAUCUA